rnacentral:rRNA from 1 species
AUUGAACGCUGGCGGCAUGCCUUACACAUGCAAGUCGAACGGUAACAGGUCUUCGGAUGCUGACGAGUGGCGAACGGGUGAGUAAUACAUCGGAGCGUGCCCAGACGUGGGGGAUAACGAGGCGAAAGCUUUGCUAAUACCGCAUACGAUCUAAGGAUGAAAGCAGGGGACCGCAAGGCCUUGCGCGUUUGGAGCGGCCGAUGGCAGAUUAGGUAGUUGGUGGGAUAAAAGCUUACCAAGCCGACGAUCUGUAGCUGGUCUGAGAGGACGACCAGCCACACUGGGACUGAGACACGGCCCAGACUCCUACGGGAGGCAGCAGUGGGGAAUUUUGGACUAUGGGCGAAAGCCUGAUCCAGCAAUGCCGCGUGCAGGAUGAAGGCCUUCGGGUUGUAAACUGCUUUUGUACGGAACGAAAAGGCUCUGGCUAAUACCUGGGGCACAUGACGGUACCGUAAGAAUAAGCACCGGCUAACUACGUG